rnacentral:rRNA from 1 species
UAAGGAAUAUUGGUCAAUGGACGCAAGUCUGAACCAGCCAUGCCGCGUGGAGGAUGAAGGUCCUCUGGAUUGUAAACUUCUUUUAUCUGGGACGAAACACUUCUUUUCUAAGAGGCCUGACGGUACCAGAUGAAUAAGCACCGGCUAACUCCGUGCCUGCAGCCGCGGUAAUACGGAGGGUGCAAGCGUUAUCCGGAUUCACUGGGUUUAAAGGGUGCGUAGGUGGGUAUGUAAGUCAGUGGUUAAAUCCCCGAGCUUAACUUGGGAACUGCCAUUGAUACUAUAUAUCUUGAAUACCGUAGAGGUAAGCGGAAUAUGUCAUGUAGCGGUGAAAUGCUUAGAUAUGACAUGGAACACCAAUUGCGAAGGCAGCUUACUAUGCGGUGAUUGACACUGACGCACGAAAGCGUGGGUAGCAAACA